AUUGAACGCUGGCGGCAUGCUUUACACAUGCAAGUCGAACGGCAGCGCGGGCUUCGGCCUGGCGGCGAGUGGCGAACGGGUGAGUAAUGCAUCGGAACGUGCCCAGUAGUGGGGGAUAGCCCGGCGAAAGCCGGAUUAAUACCGCAUACGACCUGAGGGUGAAAGCGGGGGACCGAAAGGCCUCGCGCUAUUGGAGCGGCCGAUGUCGGAUUAGCUAGUUGGUGGGGUAAAGGCUUACCAAGGCGACGAUCCGUAGCUGGUCUGAGAGGACGACCAGCCACAAUGGGAAUUGGAACCGGCCCCGACCCCUACGGGAGGCAGCAGGGGGGAAUUUUUGACAAUGGGGGCAACCCUGAUCCAGCCAUGCCGCGUGCGGGAAGAAGGCCUUCGGGUUGUAAACCGCUUUUGUUCGGGAAGAAAUCCUCUGGGCUAAUACCCCGGGGGGAUGACGGUACCGGAAGAAUAAGCACCGGCUAACUACGUG
rnacentral:rRNA from 1 species